CACAGAGUUAGCCGGUGCUUAUUCUGCGAGUAACGUCCACUAUCCAGUAGUAUUAGUACUAGUAGCCUCCUCCUCGCUUAAAGUGCUUUACAACCAAAAGGCCUUCUUCACACACGCGGCAUGGCUGGAUCAGGCUUCCGCCCAUUGUCCAAUAUUCCCCACUGCUGCCUCCCGUAGGAGUCUGGGCCGUGUCUCAGUCCCAGUGUGGCGGAUCAUCCUCUCAGACCCGCUACAGAUCGUCGCCUUGGUAGGCCUUUACCCCACCAACUAGCUAAUCCGACUUAGGCCCAUCAUUUAGCGCAAGGUCCGAAGAUCCCCUGCUUUCUCCCGUAGGACGUAUGCGGUAUUAGCAUUCCUUUCGGAAUGUUGUCCCCCACUAAAUGGCAGAUUCCUAAGCAUUACUCACCCGUCCGCCGCUAAGAUAAGGUGCAAGCACCUCAUCUCCGCUCGACUUGCAUGUGUUAAGCCUGCCGCCAGCGUUCAAUCUGAGCCA
rnacentral:rRNA from 1 species